UAAAACUCUGAAGCCCCAUGAGUUCAUCUCCAUGCUCCGCCGAGAAGUGCUUGAUGACUUCCUACGCCGCCGUGCUGAGUCUUGUGGCGCCGCACUUAUCAAAGGACUUGUCACAAAUGUGGAGGUUCCCCUAACAAGCAGCUCUUCAUAUGUUAUUCACUAUAAUAAGAAUAAUUCACAGAAAUCUCUUGCUGUUGAUGUUGUUAUUGGUGCUGAUGGAGCCAACAGUAAGGUGGCUAAGGCCAUAAAAGCAGGAGAUUACACUUGUGCUAUUGCUUUUCAAGAAAGGAUUAAGUUGCCUGAGGAGAAAAUGGAAUAUUAUGAAAAUUUGGCUGAAAUGUAUGUCGGAAAUGAUGUUUCACCUGAUUUUUAUGCGUGGGUUUUCCCCAAGUGCGAUCAUGUGGCAGUGGGAACGGGGACAGUAUGCUCAAAGAAGGAUAUCAAGAUGUUUCAACAUGGCAUAAGAGCAAGAGUUAGGCCAAAAACUCAUGGCGGUCAAGUAAUUAAAGUUGAGGCUCAUCCAAUCCCUGAGCAUCCACGUCCAGUUAGAGUCAGGGGACGAGUGGCUCUGGUGGGGGAUGCAGCAGGAUAUGUGACGAAAUGUUCUGGUGAGGGAAUUUACUUUGCUGCCAAGAGUGGGAGGAUGUGCGGGGAAGCAAUUGUCAAGGCAUCAGAAGGAGGUGAAAGAAUGAUUAGUGAAGAAGAUUUAAAGAGGGAGUAUUUGAAGAAGUGGGAUGAGAUGUAUUUAACUACAUUCAGGUUUUUGGAUUUGUUGCAAAGGGUGUUUUAUGGUAGCAAUGCUGCUAGGGAGGCAUUAGUGGAGUUGUGUGGGGAUGAGUACGUGCAGAGGAUGACAUUUGAGAGCUAUCUGUAUAAGAAGUUGGCCCGGGGGAACGGAUGGGAUGACAUUAAGAUGGUCAUGAAUACAAUUGGGAGUCUAAUUAGGUGUGAUAUUGUAGGCAGAGGGAUUGAAAUGUUUGACAAACGAGUUCUUGCACAGUUGUAGUGUAUCAGGGAACUAGUUAAAUGAAAGAGAAUCAAAUGAAACUUCAUCAGUACUUCCCAGAGAAGUACAGAUCCAGGAAGUUUUAGCUUUAAAUCACCUAAAAACCUUUUGGUAUGAACAAAUGGUUGUGCCAUUACUCUAUUUCAGUUCUUCAUAAAGCAGAUUCAAAUUGUUGUUUCCAAGAAAAUCUUUGCUGCGGUGGUCAAUUUAGCCUUUCAUCAUUGCCUUAAGUAUCAUCCUGUAAAGUAAUGAAUAAUUAAGAACUUGACUACAUUAUUAUAACUUCUGGGUGCAUAAAUACAGCUUUACAGUGGAAAGAAGUGAAACAUUUAAGCAAGCUAUAACUUUUCAGCAAAGCUUCAAGUUGAAUUAACAGUUUCCUACCAUACACACACUAUUUACCUUGAUCCUAACAUUAUAGCCCAGUCGAGCUAAGAGUUUCUUACCCACUUUGUACCUCGAUUCUAACAUUAGCCAGCUCCUGUUUUUGCCUCUACUGAUACCACAAUUUAUUUGUACAACUUAUUCGCUAUAUGCAUAGAGUUCAAGUGUUUCAAGAGAAAAUCAAAUCCCAUUUUCACACCAUUCUGUAUCCAUCCUUUCUUGACCCCUCCGCCCUCCGCCACAACCAAUUUCUUUCUUCAUGUAGUGCACAUUGUGUUUGAAUCUUUUGCGACAAGGUUUUGAAAAUAAAAAAAACCCAAGUGCCUAGUGAUGAAAAAGUAAUUAGAGCAGUAAAAGGGUUAAAGCUUGAUAUAUUUCCACAUAUAAUAGGACCCAAAUAACAACCUAAUAGUUGAAUAGGUGGCUAUGCAGCCACCAAUCAUCCCUCUUGGUUAAAGACAUACAAGCAUAGAGGAUAUAGGCUCUGAUUUAGUAGACGUAGUUUGCAGAACUUGGAGGAAUAUGUGCUUUGCUGCCUGUGUUAUGCAGCAUUUCUGGGACUUAAUUUAGUCAAGGGAGAAGAUUUUGAAAGCAAUGCAAGGCAGAGAUGGAGUUGAGGAUUGAAAAGAAUGAACAGGAGAAGAGCGUGCAUGAAAAACAUAGGCAGGGGGGAGGGGACUAGCCAAGGUAAGCCCCUUAAUUAUGACAGAGAAAAGACAAAUAUGCAAAGAGGAAAUUACAGAAUAUUAAGGAAAAGAAUUCACCUUAUACUUAGAAUCUCUCUUGAUGAAGUGCAUAAGAUGCCAUAUUCUAGGCCAAAGAAGUUAAUUCUUAAAAAUGCAGAGAACCAAAGCUUCAAAAUAGAAUGAAAAAAAUCAGUUUAUGAUGCUAACUAGCCUUUUUGAUUUUAAUAACUAUUAAUAUACUACGAAUAGAACUAUAUAUGUUUACACAUACAUAUACAGUACGGCCUUCAACCCGCACUUGUCUCCGAGACUCAUACCUGACUCCACUCAAAGUGCCCUUAGCUAAAGGUUUUCUCAAAAGAUUAAUGUUUCUUCUAAAUGUGUUUCAAUUUUAGGUAGCCAUGUAAAUACUAUAUGUAUGCCUCUGUGAUUUAUGUCAAUUUCACUCUAAACAUUUUAAAGCUUGGGAUCCUCCUCAAAACACCAGAGUAUCUUAAUCUAUAACUAACAUGGUCUUAAUUUGGUUGGGCAGAAAACAAUCACAAGCAUAAAAUGUAAUUAUCCUACUCAUGUUAGGGUUAGCAUUUUUGUAUUUUCAGAGACCCUAUCCAACAUUACUCCCCCAAUUCAAAGAAUUCAGACUCUCUUGCAAUUAUUCAUGCACUGUUAAGCUGCAUCUGUAUAUUAGCAUAACACCAGAGAAGCCUAAGCAGUAUGUCUCUCAUAAUAUAACAUAAAAAGGUUUGCUGAUACACAACAAAGUCACUUAAUACCUGCAAUUCACUAAAACUUUUGCACAAAGGGUACUUUAAAGUAUCAAGAUGUCACUAAUUUCACCAAUGAUCCACUUAAGGUCCUCUUUAAACCAUAUGCUUCAAAUUCUUAUUUGGCUAGAAAAGUCCAGAUAACUUGCACCUCAACUGCAAUUUCUCAUAUUAAAUCUCUAGCACAAAGUAGCUUCAUAUAACUACUUUUUUUAUAUUAACCAAAAAAAAAAAAAAAAACAGCAAUACAAGAACCCAGAAGAACCAAACCGAUGAAAUCCUUUUAUUGUUCUAUUCUUAAUAACAACAAGAUAACAUGAAAAAAGGUUGCUGCACCAUUUUUAAUAAGCAUUGCAAUCAGACCAUCAAAAUGAAGUGCAAAAGGUCGAAGUUGAAAGAAUGUGAGCUGUGAAACUAAUAGACAUGAAAAAUACAAAAUGAUCUUAAUAAAAGCUACCAUAAAUUAAGGAAUCAAAACUGUGAGCAUAAGCGAAAAGAGUUCAUGGAAGAUAAAAAGAGUUAAAAAGCAGAGGAUCUUACGGUUUUUUUUUUUAAACCUUUUGUCAUUCAGAUCAGAUAGAGCCAGCA
rnacentral:lncRNA from 1 species